rnacentral:rRNA from 1 species
GGGACUGAGACCCGGCCCAGACUCCUACGGGAGGCAGCAGUGGGGAAUAUUGGACAAUGGGGGGAACCCUGAUCCAGCCAUGCCGCGUGUGUGAAGAAGGCCUUAUGGUUGUAAAGCACUUUAAGCGAGGAGGAGGCUACUUUAGUUAAUACCUAGAGAUAGUGGACGUUACUCGCAGAAUAAGCACCGGCUAACUCUGUGCCAGCAGCCGCGGUAAUACAGAGGGUGCGAGCGUUAAUCGGAUUUACUGGGCGUAAAGCGUGCGUAGGCGGCUUAUUAAGUCGGAUGUGAAAUCCCCGAGCUUAACUUGGGAAUUGCAUUCGAUACUGGUGAGCUAGAGUAUGGGAGAGGAUGGUAGAAUUCCAGGUGUAGCGGUGAAAUGCGUAGAGAUCUGGAGGAAUACCGAUGGCGAAGGCAGCCAUCUGGCCUAAUACUGACGCUGAGGUACGAAAGCAUGGGGAGCAAACAGGAUUAGAUACCCUGGUAGUCCAUGCCGUAAACGAUGUCUACUAGCCGUUGGGGCCUUUGAGGCUUUAGUGGCGCAGCUAACGCGAUAAGUAGACCGCCUGGGGAGUACGGUCGCAAGACUAAAACUCAAAUGAAUUGACGGGGGCCCGCACAAGCGGUGGAGCAUGUGGUUUAAUUCGAUGCAACGCGAAGAACCUUACCUGGCCUUGACAUACUAGAAACUUUCCAGAGAUGGAUUGGUGCCUUCGGGAAUCUAGAUACAGGUGCUGCAUGGCUGUCGUCAGCUCGUGUCGUGAGAUGUUGGGUUAAGUCCCGCAACGAGCGCAACCCUUUUCCUUACUUGCCAGCAUUUCGGAUGGGAACUUUAAGGAUACUGCCAGUGACAAACUGGAGGAAGGCGGGGACGACGUCAAGUCAUCAUGGCCCUUACGGCCAGGGCUACACACGUG